UAUGAGAAGCAAAGCCUUUGGUUUCUUUAAGCCUCAAUUUCUUUCUUUCUUUUUUUUUUUAAUUUAUUUUUUUGAGACAGAGUCUCGCUCUGUCACCCAGGCUGGAGUGCAGUGGCACAAUCUCAGCUCACUGCAAUUUCCGCCUCCUGGGUUCAAGCCAUUUUCUUGCCUCAGCCUCCCAAAGUUCUGGGAUCACAAGUGUGAGCCACUGUGCCCGGCCUAUGCCUCAAUUUCUUCCUGCCUUACUAUAGGUACAUCAUAUUUAUUUAAUUCCCUAAGUCCCUCCUCAACAGAUUUUAUUCUACUACUGAAAUCCAGUCUGCAGAAACUAAAAGUUGUAUAGUGGAUAUGAAAUUUAUAUAACCACCAUAGUUCAGUAUCUCAGGGGUAAAAAUAAAAUGUGACUAUUUAUUUCCACAAAACUGAACCUAUCAAUUCAAGAUAACUUUUGCUUUAAAACUCACGACUCCUUGAAUCAAUAGUCAAUUUCUGGAUCUUUCUCCUCCUCCUAGGUCCUCUUCUCCCUGAAGGCUGUCACAGUUCCUGUGCAGAGAGAGAGGGCACUGCAGCACCCAGGCGCUGACUGCCUUUUGUCAGUCUCAUUUGCAGGCCCCCAGCUGGAGAACCCAGGAGGAAGAGGAAAAAAGUUUUUUCCUCCUCUACACUCCCCAUGCAUGACUAAAGAGUAGGAGGAGUCAGCAAGGCAGACAUAUAUAGUACCCAGGAGGUGGACAAACAACUGCCUUGGUGGAAACUCUGUCCUUUCUGGACUUAUCCUGGUGCCACUGAGACUGUGCAGGUCCCACACUUACAGGGAAAGCAUCACCCGAAAGUGAGAAUGCCUAGAGGCAGGAAUCAUGGAGGCUUCCUUAACCGUCUGUCUGCAACAGCAGGUGCUAGAGAUGACACUGCAGAGUAGAGAACAAAGGAAUCUUAGUAAUUGUUCAAUCCAAUCUCCACACUUUAAAGAUGAAGAAACUGGUAUUGAGAAAAAUACACAGCUUAUCCAAGGUUGCACUGCUGGUUGGUAGCUGAGAUGAAUUUAGAACCCACAUCUGAUGACUACACCAUAUUGCUCCCAGUUUUCCUGUCUGUUCCACAUGUAAAAGUCUGACUCUUCACUUCUCCUUUGAGUAUAUAGACUUUUAACAUUUUUGUAUGUCAAGAUGGACUUUUCCUCAUACCCAGCCCCUGCCUUUUCUCCUCCCUUCAUACCUUGCAGGAUCUUUAACAGAAUUUAAAA
rnacentral:lncRNA from 1 species